AACGAACGCUGGCGGCGCGUUUUAAGCAUGCAAGUCGAACGGUAAUACGGCUUCGGUCGUAUGAGAGUGGCGAACGGGUGAGUAACACGUAGGUGAUCUACCUUGGGCACGGGGAUAGCCUGUGGAAACACAGAGUAAUACCGGAUACGCCUUAGUGUCUGUGGGUACUAAGGGAAAGGAGCUUAGGCUCCGGUCUGAGAUGAGCCUGCGGUCCAUUAGCUAGUUGGUGAGGUAAAGGCCCACCAAGGCGACGAUGGAUAGCCGGCCUGAGAGGGUGAACGGCCACACUGGGACUGAGACACGGCCCAGACUCCUACGGGAGGCAG
rnacentral:rRNA from 1 species